rnacentral:rRNA from 1 species
CACGUAGGGUGCGAGCGUUGUCCGGAAUUAUUGGGCGUAAAGAGCUUGUAGGCGGUUUGUCGCGUCUGCUGUGAAAAUCCGGGGCUCAACUCCGGACUUGCAGUGGGUACGGGCAGGCUAGAGUGUGGUAGGGGAGACUGGAAUUCCUGGUGUAGCGGUGGAAUGCGCAGAUAUCAGGAGGAACACCGAUGGCGAAGGCAGGUCUCUGGGCCGAUACUGACGCUGAGGAGCGAAAGCGUGGGGAGCGAACAGG